CCUACGGCAGGCAGCAGUGGGGAAUUUUGGACAAUGGGCGCAAGCCUGAUCCAGCCAUUCCGCGUGAGUGAAGAAGGCCUUCGGGUUGUAAAGCUCUUUCGCAAGAGAAGAAAACUUACUUUCCAAUAAAGAGUGAGGUUGACGGUAUCUUGAUAAGAAGCACCGGCUAACUACGUGCCAGCAGCCGCGGUAAUACGUAGGGUGCGAGCGUUAAUCGGAAUUACUGGGCGUAAAGCGUGCGCAGGCUGUUUUGUAAGUCAGAUGUGAAAUCCCCGAGCUCAACUUGGGAACUGCGUUUGAAACUACAAGACUAGAAUAUGUCAGAGGGGGGUAGAAUUCCACGUGUAGCAGUGAAAUGCGUAGAGAUGUGGAGGAAUACCAAUGGCGAAGGCAGCCCCCUGGGAUAAUAUUGACGCUCAUGCACGAAAGCGUGGGGAGCAAACAGGAUUAGAUACCCUGGUAGUCCACGCCAUAAACGAUGUCUACUAGUUGUUGGUGGAGUAAAAUCCAUGAGUAACGCAGCUAACGCGUGAAGUAGACCGCCUGGGGAGUACGGUCGCGAAGNUUAAAACGUCAAAGGAAUUGACGG
rnacentral:rRNA from 1 species